AUCAAUAAGCGGAGGAAAAGAAACCAACAGGGAUUACCUCAGUAACGGCGAGUGAAGCGGUAAAAGCUCAAAUUUGAAACCCUCGGGAUUGUAAUUUGAAGAUUUGGCAUUGGGAAAAGCUAACCCAAGUUGCUUGGAAUAGUACGUCGUAGAGGGUGAGAACCCCGUGUGGCUAACCGUUUCCCAUGUAUUGCCUUAUCAAAGAGUCGAGUUGUUUGGGAAUGCAGCUCUAAGUGGGUGGUAAACUCCAUCUAAAGCUAAAUAUUGGCGAGAGACCGAUAGCGAACAAGUACUGUGAAGGAAAGAUGAAAAGAACUUUGAAAAGAGAGUGAAAUAGUAUGUGAAAUUGUUGAUAGGGAAGGGAAUGAGUGUAGCGUGGGUGAGGUUUCAAUUAUCUCUCGAGGUGAUGUACUGCCAAACCCGAGUCAAGGAGUGGGAAAAAGGGGUUAUAAAUGCAAACUCUCGAGUCUGCACCUAACCCCCGCCCUCCACUCCUCGACAUAAUACACCCAUUCCACCCGUCUUGAAACACG
rnacentral:rRNA from 1 species